GCUCACGCCACUCGCUUGCAGCCUGGGCCGGCCCCAACUCAGUCAAAAGCCGCGCCCUCCAUCCUGACUGUGAUUGGGCGCAGAAUCUAGAAAUUACGGCCACUCAUUUGCUUAGAAGAGGUCCAGAGGCUUGCGGGCCCGCCCCCCUCGCCAGUCGAGUAUUUCCUCCUCUUGCUAUUUGUCAGUCUAGCUACCGCUUCUGCCCGCGUCUUGCGGGUAAGAUGGGGCGGUCCGAAUUUUGGAAUGUUGCUGCGCUCCUGCCUCUCCUCAGGGCAGCUCUGUUAGCUGGGAACUAGCUGCCUGUACCUUUCAGUCAUUGAGGGAACUCGCCCCUUUGACCUGGCCUGUGUGUUAAAGCUGUGCUUCUCGGGCACCUCCUCCUCAAAACCCCCAACCAGCCGCCAAGCGCCAUCAGAGCAGCCCCGACUAGCCUCCUCCCCUCCCAGCCGUCUGACUCCUCUCCCCAGUCUGUAGUCCCCUCAUUUCCAUCCUUAAGCCCCGCUUGGAAAGAGACCGGAGAGAAAUUUGCCCACUACCCACUGAGAAGACCCGCUUGUCAGCAGUGUCUCGGGGUGGGGGGCACUGCAAGGCCUGACGCUAUUUUGUGAGCGUUAAAUGCCCAGCAGUAUCUCCCAGACCGGCAACCCCCGACCCUCCAGUCUCCAUGUCUUAGAAAAGCCAAAUUCGAGAGUUAUAUAAUUUCUAGUGCUGCUGUUGCUCCUGCCUGAGGAAACACUUCAUCGCGUGAAGGGUGCAGGACAUUUCAGUGCUCUUCCCUAAAAGAACGGGGCUUGGGCAGGGGUGGUCAGCGGUGGCAGAGAAAUGUCCUGUCUUUUCUGCAAAAGGAAGGUGGGUAGUUUGAAGAGAGAUUGAGAGAAAAGGUGGAUGUGAAAGCCAAGCAGCUGCACUUUCUCAUUUAGGAAAUCGCGGACCGUUUGCAUAGCUUAUGCUUACAUGUCUAAUACUACUACGGCGUCUCUGAAAACACCUCUGGGAGAAGGUUUGGCUUCUCUUGAAGUUUCAGUGUUUUUCCUUGCCGGAUAGGGAGCUGCUUGCAUGCGAAGAGAUGGCAUAAUGUGAAUGACUCCAAUGUGAAGAAAUCUCCUUCGCCAACUCAUCCUGCAUCAAGUGCCCAUUGAGUAGUACUGUCACUUUAAUGUCUCCAUGCCAAGGGAUUGCUUUCCUUUUUUUCAAUCCUCUCGGUUAAUACAUGGGAGGAUCAGAAUCAGAGGGGCAUUAAGGAUCAAGCCUGGGGGCUUGGAGAGCACAGAAGAAAAAAAUGAAAGUGACAGCAGGCUGGAUCCUGAGUUACUGAGAGGAAGACUCAGCCUGGAUUUCAAAACUGAACAGUGAAGUGGUUUGCAACAGUUACCUGGCUCUUGGCCUCAAUCCAGUUGGAUCAAACUGAGACUUGAAAAGAGAUCUUGAAUCCUGUGGCAGCGAAAAGACCCAAGAAUGCCAGUCAAGAAGAAAGAUACUGACCGAGCUUUAUCAUUACUGGAAGAAUACUGCAAAAAAUUAAAGACACCAGAAGAGCAGCUGUUGAAAAAUGCUGUUAAAAAGGUGAUGGGUAUCUUUAAGAGCAGCUUAUUCCAAGCUUUGCUAGACAGAGUCUCACUGUGUCUACAGGCUGGCAUUUAGUG